CGUGGCCUAGUGGCCAAGACACCAGGCUGGUAACCUGGCGGGCGUACCUUCGA
rnacentral:tRNA from 11 species